ACGCACGCUGGCGGCGUGCUUCACCCCUGCAAGUCGCACGGUAAGGCCCCUUCGGGGGUACACGAGUGGCGAACGGGUGAGUAACACGUGAGCAACCUGCCCUUGACUCUGGAAUAACAGUUGGAAACAGCUGCUAAUACUGGAUAUUCAUCGUCUCCUUCCUGGGGGGUGGUGGAAAGCUCCGGCGGUCAGGGAUGGGCUCGCGGCCUAUCAGCUUGUUGGUGAGGUAAUGGCUCACCAAGGCUUCGACGGGUAGCCGGCCUGAGAGGGCGACCGGCCACACUGGGACUGAGAUACGGCCCAGACUCCUACGGGAGGCAGCAGUGGGGAAUAUUGCACAAUGGGCGCAAGCCUGAUGCAGCAACGCCGCGUGCGGGAUGACGGCCUUCGGGUUGUAAACCGCUUUCAGUAGGGACGAAGGGUGACUGACGGUACCUACAGAAGAAGGACCGGCUAACUACGUG
rnacentral:rRNA from 1 species